GUCGGGCUUAUCCCGACGUCAUACAAUGAUUGCUUUUCAAGGUGCUCCCACUGCGGAGGAAUCAGGAUGCCAAACAAUUGGUCAUAUAGUUCUCGAUCUUCUUUUAGGACCAUAUCAUUUUUAUUUGAGGAAAGAUCGGGAGUGGUCCACUUCCAAUCAAAACCCCAAGGGUAGUCGGUUGCUACAAAGAAACACUUAUUCUUCCAUCCAUAGAUGGAAGAAGGAAGUCCAGUGAUAAACUGACAUUUAUGCCAAAAACUGAAGAACCGAAGCCAAAAGAGUGAGAUUCGCUGCUCAAAAUGAAAAAGAUAACAAAGAACUACAAAACAAGACUAAAUUCUAAAGGAAUUGGGGGUGAGCUA
rnacentral:lncRNA from 1 species